AUAUUUGCCGAAAUAUAUUUAAUAAUGUUUUUAUAAUACGAAUAUUGAAUUUAAAUAGUUUAAAAAACGCUCCUGCCGCUUUCACUGCUAAUCGUCCAGAAACGCCGAUGGAGCACCCUUCUUUUUCUUGGAUUUCGACUGUCCCGCCUUAGUUUUUGCUUCUGGCUUUUUUCCUGCCUUGACGGCUGCGUUCGGUGUGCAACGAACACGAGCAGAAGGUGUUUUG